UUGUUGUUGUUGUUGUUUAAACACCUGUAAAGUGUCUUGAGAUAACUGUGUUACGAAUUGGCACUUUAAAUAAAACUGAAUUGAACUGAAUUGAAUUCAACAUAUAGCUGCAGUGGGGGACAUUUAAUCUUUAUGUUAUUGUAUGUAAUAGUAUUCUGUGGCAUUUUGAAGCUUGAUAGAUCGAUAAUUUAGCCUGAGCAUUAUGGUAUUUGCAUUUAGGCUUAAGUAAGCUGAGUUUAUUAACCAUGGUGUACCAUGUGAUGUGUGGGUAGUGGUAUAAAUUAAUGACACAACCAGACAUAGUUAGUUAAAGCUGUGCUUAUUGCUUUCGGACACAGUCUUAAUUACUUUUUCUCUUUUUUGCUUUCCAUAACAUUACAUUUUAAUGGAAUUUUCUUUGUCUUUUAGGUGCUAGCAACAGCAGCUGACAUUGAAAGAACACAGCCGCUUCCUGACUCUCUGAGACUAAUUCUCUUAAGUAGUGUAUGCUGGACAUAUUUUAGUAGCAAUUUAAAAGUUUAAACCAUAUGUUCAUCUAUGUUAAGGUGAAGUGCUCACAACAACGCACUGUAAACUGAGCAUUGAGGCUUUAUAACAACUUUAAUCUGGCUUACCAGGAGCAAGCAUCUUGCGUACAGAAUUGAUAUGUGCCUGAAGUAAAAUUCAGGUGUAGUUUUUGUUUUUAGACAGACAAGAAACAUUAUUUUUUGUGGAAACCAUAGUGAUAGGGACAGCUUUGCUUUUUUUGUCACAAGGUUGCAUGAGUUACCAAUCACUGCUGAUUUAGCAAAAUUUACAGCAGCUAACUGGGACAACUAUUUUAAUAUUUUAAACCAAACAAACCUGCCAAAAGUAUUUUCCCACAACAAAAUACUUAACAACUGAGUAUUUAAAAUAAUUCACCUUGUUACAGAAUGCCAUUAUUGCUACAUACUGGAGUCUUGAGAUGGUCUGUGCAGUGGUGUGGUAUGUAAAAGGCUGGCCUUGAUAGCACAAUUGAAUCGUAAUGAAAAAUAUUUAACAGACAAAUUUUCGUUUCAUGUUUUUCACAUUGGAGGGGCAAGUGAUUAAUUUGUUUUGCAUUACCUUAUGGAUUCUGCCCCCCAUUAAUUUAUUCUUUUCAUGUGUAUUUGUGAUUUCAGAUGUUUCAUUGGAAUCAACCCAACCAAGACAGCAAAGCUGGUCAGCCAAAGAAGUGGAAAGGUGCAUUAAAGGAACUCAGUCAACCGCCAUGUCUAGACUCUCCUCGAGUAGUUAAUGGACUUUGAAAAGCUUUAACUGUGUUCUGCCUCCUAAUUGUUCAAUGAGGUGCACCAUAAAGCACCUUUGCCAGCAUCUAAAUGGGGGCUUCUGGAGAGGAGAAUACUGAUAUUGAUGCCUCUCAGUCUGGGAUUUAUUACACACUGUUGUGUUUGAACUUACUGUCUCCAAUAGAGUUAAUUUAGUAUCUUGGUUGGUUGGUUUUUCAAUGUGAUUAAAUCCCAUGGAUUUGAAUGUUUGAGAGGGGCCUUUUCUGUGGUCAUUCUGGGUUAGUGUCGGGAGUGUUGUUCAGUCCAUAAGGCCACCACAAGUGAGGGGCAUAACAAUAUUAACAACUAAUUUUAGCUAACUGUUGCCAUAAAGUUGGAAGUGUAGCAUUGUCCAGAAUGUCUUGGUAUGCUGAUACAUGCGUUUCCUUUCACUGGAAGAAAAGGGCCUAGCCCCACUGUUAUUAGCUCCAGUCAUAUAGAGGUUACAUUUGCAAAAAUGCAUUUCAUAUAAGAGAGGCCCUCUACUUAAUGGAUUAAAUGGUUAACAGCAUGAUAACUUUCAACAGUUGUAAAAUCCUCUUUGGUAGUAUUAUAAAUGCAGCAUUUUGUUGGUCUCUGGCUGGCAAUAAAACUCUAGCUAGCCUUACCAUUAAUGUGUGGAGACUAUGGAGCGUCCAGUAUAGAAAAGGUAAAUUACUGGAGGAAUGUGAAUGUGCUCAGUAAAUUUUAUGAUUUUCAUAUAUCUUGAAAUUUGGCCUGACAGUGAGGAAAUGAAGAAAAGAGGGAUCACUAAAACAUUUGGAUUCUUUCAUAUUGGAUUUUUAAAGUUAUUUAUAAAAAAAAUCAUUGCAUCUGUCCAGUAGUUGUACAACAGAAAGAAUGGCCAAGGUUAUAAAUAAAGACCAUAGUUGUAAUAAACCAUAAUUAUUCUGUAUGCUGUUUAUCAUAAAAGAAACUACUCUCAAACAAA